AAAAGUCGUAACAAGGUUUCCGUAGGUGAACCUGCGGAAGGAUCAUUACCUAGUGCGGGCUGCCUCCGGGCGCCCAACCUCCCACCCGUGACUACCUAACACUGUUGCUUCGGCGGGGAGCCCCCCAGGGGCGAGCCGCCGGGGACCACUGAACUUCAUGCCUGAGAGUGAUGCAGUCUGAGCCUGAAUACAAAUCAGUCAAAACUUUCAACAAUGGAUCUCUUGGUUCCG
rnacentral:misc_RNA from 1 species